AGAGGAGGAGGAGGCUGAGGAUGAGAAAGAGGAAGAAGAGGGAGAAGUUUCAGAAGAAGAACAGGGAGAUUCUAGUGAUGAGGGUGAAUACUGCCCUUGGGAGAGGGAACGGCUUUCAGGGGUGUGGCUUGAUGAAGAGGAGGCGGGGUUUGUUAAAGAGUCGUUUGAAGGAUACAGUGAUGACACAGAUAUAGACACCAGCUCCGUAAGAGAGUCCAAACCAUGUGACCAACAGGAACAAGAAGAGUCCAUUUCAUUGCACCAGUCACCUGCAGAGUCCUCACCCUCUUUGAAACUACCAGAAU